rnacentral:rRNA from 1 species
UACGUAGGAGACGAGCGUUAUCCGGAUUCACUGGGCGUAAAGGGCAAGUAGGCGGUUGCUCAAGUUGGGCGUGACGAUCUCUGGCUUAACUAGGGAAGGACGUUCAAAACUAGGCAACUUGAGGGCAGGAGAGGAAAGCGGAAUUCCUAGUGUAGCGGUGGAAUGCUCAGAUACUAGGAGGAACACCGGUGGCGAAGGCGGCUUUCUGGUCUGCACCUGACGCUGAGAGGCGAAAGCUAGGGUAGCGAACGGGGCUUAGAUACCCGCGUAGUCCCUGA